rnacentral:lncRNA from 1 species
AGAAAUUCAUCUAUCAAAUUCACAAUAGGUUGUGAAUUAAAAUGGAAAACUCUUGGAAUAAUGUAAAUGGACUGGAUGGACAUGGGGCAACUUUAAAUGCAGAUAAAUGAGACUUUUUUUGCUCACCUGGAACUUCAAAAAGUGCUUACCAGAGACUGUCUCCUCACUGCUAUUUCUUAUACACAAAUUUCUUGUUGGCUUCCUGACUCAAUACUUUAAUUUAUAGUUAUCUGGAUUUGCUGUUUGAUGAUUUGAAUGUGUCAUAAAAUCACAAAGUUCAAAAGGCAAAAUCCUGGUAAGUGGAAUACUCAGAGAAGUAUGGCUUCUAGGUCUGUCACCUCUAAUUCAUCUCCUCCUCCCCCAAGUGUGUAAUCAUAGCCUUUAGUUUUUACAAAACUUUCAUUACUUCAAGUACAAAUAAGCAAAUGUAUACAAGAA